UUUGUUGCCGCUUCAAUGUCAGAAAGUAGCUUAUAGGCAAUUGAUUUGCCCUUAUCUUUUUUCUUCGUUGUUUUUUCUCCCAAUGAUGAUGAGGUAUCCUUUACAAGCAAUUCUUGUGAAGCUGCCUCCCGAGCCUUGUCUCCUCGAGUUUGCCUCUUAAAAGAAUUUCCUUCUCUAGUAUCAUCAAAAUUUCCUCGUCUCUUUUCUUCCAUCAAAGCUUUAUG
rnacentral:lncRNA from 1 species